GACAUAGAAAGGAACAGUCAACAACAUUUAAGUCAUUUAGCCAUUGGAGUCUUGGAGGGUAUCAUUUAAUACAAAGUCAAUGGUGAAAGCAGUAUUCAGAUUCUGAAGUACAGUAACAUUACAACCAUGUAAAAAUACUUAAUUUCAAGUCCCGUAAAAAGGGGACGUGUUUAACUAAAUUGCAGUGCAGUGUGAUGACUUGGAUAAAGAUAGUUUUUAAAGAAAGUACAAUUAAGGAAAGACUGUUUUAAUAGAACACACCAGAAGAGCAAUGAAGAUGGUGGUUAUUUAAAAAAAUAAAAAAGGUCAUCUAUAUUACUCUAGCAGACUUUGAGUUUUGAAAAAAUAAAACAACACUUCAAAGUCUUUUUAAUAUGUAAAACAUCAGCAAUCUUAACAGUUAGAAAACAUUUAAUGCCUUAUUUACCAUUACUCGCUCAACAACCUUAAUAUAGAUUCCUAUGAUAAAGUAUUUGCCCCCUUCCUGUUUUUUUUUUUUUUUUUUUUCUUUGCAUGUUUGUCACACUUUCCAUACUGGAUAAAGAUAUUCUGAGUAAAUAAAAAAAAAGCAGUUUUUAAACGACAAGCUCUUUUAUUCAGGGAAAAUAAAGUUAUCUAAACCUGCCUGGCUCUAUGUGAAAAUGUAAUUGCUCCCUAAAGCAAAUAACUGGUUGUGAGACCCUUGGCAGUAAGAACUGCAGUGAAGCAUUUGUGAUAACUGGCAGUAAAUCUGUGCAGGAAUUUUGGCCGAACCUUUUCUUUGCUGAAUUGUUUUAAUGUCAAUGCACUCUUAUUUUAGUGGGCUGAAAACUCUUGGGAAGGUUCACCACGGCUCCAAGGAUUCUCUAUUUUUGGAUAAUGAUCCUCAGCUGUUUUGAGUUUCUUUAGAUCGAGCUAUGAUGCUAUGAAGCAGGCUAAAAGUUGAGAUUUUUAGCCUGCUACGCUUUGUCAGACAGGUCUAAUUUAUGUGAUUUCUUGAUUUAACAGAUGUAAACAGGAAGGUUGGACAUACUUUUUCACAGCACUGUACUUUGCAAUUACUGCACAAACUGAAAGAAGCAUGAGCAACACCUGCACUGACCUUUGACUUCUGCAGUUCCCAGAUGCACAAUGGCAGGACCACUAAGAGCAACAAGAUGUACAACACAACGACCAAUGGCCGGAUCCAUCUUCUCCAGUUCCCACAGGAACACGGCAUCUUUCACAGAGACACUACAGGGCACCCCUUUCUUUUACUAAAGACCUGAACCAACGUCUUCAACACUUAACGCACUUUACGUUAGCUUAGCAUACUGUUACCCUCCUAUCGGCUAACCGCGACUCUAAAACAAUCCUUUACUAAUGUGUAAACGUAUGUCGACUUCUUUUCUAACGUAGCGAUUCAUUCAUGAGGACAAAGCUGCUUGAUAACAACCAGCUCAUAUGACUCCAAUUUUAAAA